UACGUAGGGGGCAAGCGUUGUCCGGAAUUACUGGGCGUAAAGCGUGCGCAGGCGGCUUUGCAAGACAGAUGUGAAAUCCCCGGGCUUAACCUGGGAACUGCGUUUCUAACUGGCAGGCUUGAGUGUGGCAGAGGGGGGUGGAAUUCCACGUGUAGCAGUGAAAUGCGUAGAGAUGUGGAGGAACACCGAUGGCGAAGGCAGCCCCCUGGGCUAACACUGACGCUCAUGCACGAAAGCGUGGGGAGCAAACAGG
rnacentral:rRNA from 1 species